AUGAACGCUGGCGGCGUGCCUAAUACCUGCAAGUUGAGCGAACAGACGAGGAGCUUGCUCCUCUGACGUUAGCGGCGGACGGGUGAGUAACACGUGGAUAACCUACCUAUAAGACUGGGAUAACUUCGGGAAACCGGAGCUAAUACCGGCUAAUAUCUUGAACCGCAUGGAUCAAUAGUAAAAGACGGUUUUGCUGUCACUUAUAGAUGGAUCCGCGCCGCAUUAGCUAGUUGGUAAGGUAACGGCUUACCAAGGCAACGAUGCGUAGCCGACCUGAGAGGGUGAUCGGCCACACUGGAACUGAGACACGGUCCAGACUCCUACGGGAGGCAGCAGUAGGGAAUCUUCCGCAAUGGGCGAAAGCCUGACGGAGCAACGCCGCGUGAGUGAUGAAGGUCUUCGGAUCGUAAAACUCUGUUAUUAGGGAAGAACAAAUGUGUAAGUAACUAUGCACGUCUUGACGGUACCUAAUCAGAAAGCCACGGCUAACUACGUG
rnacentral:rRNA from 1 species